UUUGUAUUAACAUUAGUACACCGUUAGUAUAAAGUGAGUCACUUAUUUUGGGACGGAGGGAGUACCUCUUGGAUAUAAUAGUUCUUUUAGGUGAGUUGGAUGUAUCUAAUCAAAUGUAAUAAUUAUGUUUGGAUGUUUUGAUGUUAGUUCAGUACAAACUAAUUCAAACUAACUCUAAUCCAUGCAUCCAAACAGGACCGGGAAAAAGGUACUGUAAUGGAUAUACAGUAUGAAACAGUGUACUACUAUUGUGGGCAACUGCAACUUCAGCAACCGGCUUCAAGACAUGAUUGACCAGCUCGUUCUGCAUCGGUGGCAAAGACAGGAUAUGCACGUAUAUUGGAGGGGUAACUAUUUGCCCUCCGCCAUCUCCUAGCUGCACAUGGGUAGGUUGGCAGCAUGGACGAACGCCGGCUUGCUGCUGAGCACAGGCAAGCUGAAGCAGAGUUGGCCUCUUAACAUACGCCCUCUAGAAAUCAAAGAAACGGCGCAGGCGGACCUGUGAUAGUCAUUGACUGUAUUUCAGAGGAUCGGUGAACAUAGAUCUAAAGCAAGAACAAACCGAGAAAUUUCAGAUUUGCUUACAUUGUAUUGUCUACACUCUUAGAAACGACGACCCGCCUUGUCUCCAAUCUUUGUGUCGUGAAGUCUGUUGGGAUAGUGAGAGAGUGAGCAGGAAGACAUGUCAGACAUGAUAGCAGACGAAUAAGGGCGAAGGGAGCGGCGCCGGCGGCGAUGAGGAAUUUUGUCUGGUAAUUUUGGUUGCGCAGGGGAGCACGAUGGCGGGCUGCAGUGGUUAUGGA
rnacentral:lncRNA from 1 species